rnacentral:snoRNA from 1 species
AGCAUCUGAGAUCUUGGUGGCUCAGAGUGUCUGUGUGAGUAGUUUUCAUUGUUAUCAUUUAUAAUAUACCAUCAGUAACC